rnacentral:sRNA from 1 species
UUUUUUACCUGGAUUUUGCAGUUGUAUGUGCUAAUGAUUUUCCAAGCCCAUUUUCAUUGAAGGCAGCAUUGGGGAGGGGGCCUCCCUCCAGAGCCAGCCUGCCUGGGUUUGAAUCAUGGCUUUACUGCUUCUCUGGGAUCUUAGAAAACUGCUUAACCUCUCUGAGCCUCAGUUUCUGCAUCUGUUAAAUAGAGACAAUGGAAGGACCUCCCUCUUAGUGUUGUGGGUAUUGGAGAGCUGAUGCUAGAACACUUCCAAGCACAUGUGUUGGUCACAUGGCAGGUGUGCAGUUCCAUCCGCCGCUGCUGUUAUUACUGGGUCCUCUUCACAGUCCUGGUGGGGAGGCAGUGCAGAGGUAGUUCUCCCUGUGUGUGGGGCCUGACUUCCAUGGGGUUGCAGAGCAAGUCUGUGGUGCAGUCCACAUCUGAACCCAGGCUGUCUGCUGCCUGGCCCAGGCCAGAUGACCAGUGUGGGGGUCAUUUGGUGGUCAAACCUCUGACCGUGUCUCCAGGAAGAAGCAGGCCUUAAGGACCUGUCUUUAGAUAAGUGCUGGGAGGUGGGAGAGUUCUCACACCCUUGGGUCCUGGGAGAGAGCAGAGCAGAGAGGGCAUCCUAGCCUUGGGGGCCUGGGGUGAGGGAGGGAGGCUCUGCGGCCUCCCUGCCUGGGUAGCAGAACUGGAGUGCCUGACACCUGCCUGCCCCCCAGGGCAUGACCAUUCGGCCCCUGGUAGACUUGUUGGCUGUGAAGAAAAAGCAAGAAACGAAGCGCUCCAUCAACGAAGAGAUCCACACACAGUUCCUGGACCACCUUCUGACAGGCAUCGAGGACAUCUGUGGCCACUACGGUCACCACCACUGGAAGGACAAGCUCAACCGGUUUAAUAAGAAAUACGUGAAGAAGUGUCUGAUAGCCGGCGAGCGCUCCAAGGAGCCCCAGCUCAUCGCCUUCUACCAUAAGAUGGAGAUGAAGCAGGCCAUCGAGCUGGUGGAGAGCGGGGGCAUGGGCAAGAUCCCCUCUGCCGUCUCCACCGUCUCCAUGCAGAACAUCCACCCCAAGUCCCUGCCUUCCGAGCGCAUCCUGCCGGCACUGUCCAAGGACAAGGAGGAGGAGAUCCGCAAAAUCCUGAGGAACAACUUGCAGAAGACUAGGCAGCGGCUGCGGUCCUACAACAGACACACACUGGUGGCAGACCCCUACGAGGAAGCCUGGAACCAGAUGCUGCUCCGGAGGCAGAAGGCCCGGCAGCUGGAGCAGAAGAUCAACAACUACCUGACGGUGCCAGCCCACAAGCUGGACUCACCCACCAUGUCUCGGGCCCGCAUCGGCUCAGACCCACUGGCCUAUGAGCCGAAGGAGGACCUGCCUGUCAUCACCAUCGACCCGGCUUCCCCGCAGUCACCCGAGUCUGUGGACUUGGUGAACGAGGAGCUGAAGGGCAAAGUCUUGGGGUUGAGCCGGGAUCCUGCAAAGGUGGCCGAGGAGGACGAGGACGACGAUGGGGGCAUCAUGAUGCGGAGCAAGGAGACUUCGUCCCCAGGAACCGACGAUGUCUUCACCCCUGCGCCCAGUGACAGCCCCAGCUCCCAGAGGAUACAGCGCUGCCUCAGUGACCCAGGCCCGCACCCUGAGCCUGGGGAGGGAGAACCGUUCAUCCCCAAGGGGCAGUAGCGCCAGGGCCAGCAGGCAGCGCCCAUCCCCUCACAGACUCUCCCACCAGAGCAGGGGCUGCUGGGGGCUCCCCUUGCCCUUUCUGACCCGGAUUGGCCCUGCCCCUCCCCCUACCGCAUGGCAGCUGGGCCCACAGCCCCCACCCCAGCACAGCUCCUCCCCUGCCACCUCCUGGGAAGCAUCCUCCCCACCAGAGCUUCCUCCCCAAUCCAUUUGGCAGAACUGCUGGGGCUGGUGAGGCCGGCCCUGCCCCUCCCUAGAUCCAGGUUUCUCCCAGACCUGGACUAGGGCCUCGGAGGCUCCUCCCUCUGCCUCAUCCUCCUCCUCAUUCAGACCAAUCUUAGUUUCUAACCAAAGAGUCUCUGGCUCAGCUGUGGUCCCACCCAGGAAGGGAGGGAGCUGAGGCCUCCCUCGAGCAGGCCCUGCUUUAUCAGGGGACAUACCAGGGGUACCAGGCACAUGGCUGGGGGAGGGACUGCUGACCUACCAAGGUCUCACACUCCUCCUACCAGCUCUGUCACCCUGGCCACCACCCAACCUGUCCUUACUCAGAGCUGCGGGCUGAGGGCAUCUCUGAGCGUCUCUGCCUGGAGCAGGGGUGGUUUCUACGGUGACAGUGACGUGACUCAGAGCUUUUCGAACUGUGCUCCCAUGGGGACCACUGGGCCCCUCAGGGGAUGCUGCUAGGGGAAGGACUGGCCGUGGCUCCAGAAUGUACUGCCUUUUUAAGUUUUGUUUGUUCACACUUCUAUAUAUGAUUGUUUGCACAGAGGACACUCCUGUUUUUAAAACAUUUUGAAAACCCCUGGCUGAACAGUGCUCUGCCUCUAACUCCCUCCUCACACUCCAGGAAUUACCCUUCCUCAUUUGUGCCUGUCUGUCCAACCCCCUCCCCCACGUUUCUCUGCCUGCUGGGCUCUUAACUGUUGCUCGAAGACUGUGACAUCAGAAGUAACUCCCACUCUUAGUCAAGAGUCUCUCCAGCCUCACAGAUGCUGGCCUCUUGGCACCUGCCUAGCUCUUGGGCCUCACCUCCAGUCUUGCUGGCCUGCUCUUACUUCCCCCGCCCUGGGUUUGGCCCCUGGAACCUUUCCCUUGUGUGUACCACACCCUGCCUGCUGUGGAGCCCAUUGUGGAGGCGGUAGUGGGGGAGAAGGCCUCCCCUGAGGAUCUCCUGUCCCCCGGGGCUGGUGGGUUGGGCAGAAUCCUGGGCCCCCAGAGACCUUUGCCCACACACACUCCUUCCCCUUGUCCCUGGGGCACUCCCCCAGGAUUGUGCAAUAGUCAAGAGUGUCCCUUUUUGCAGGGGACUGGGCCAUGGGUCCUCGGCCCAUCUGUCUAUCCUCCUCUCCAUGCAAGUGCCGUUUGGGCAGGAGUCACCAUGCAAGGGUGACGUCGACAACCACGUACCAAGCCACCGCAGCUGCUGCCACUCUGCCGCCUGUACAGAAGAAACUGAAUCUUUUUCAUAUUCUAAUAAAUCAAUGUGAGUUUUU